rnacentral:rRNA from 1 species
UACGGGGGGGGCAAGCGUUGUUCGGAAUUACUGGGCGUAAAGGGCGCGUAGGCGGCCUUCUAAGUCGAACGUGAAAUCCCUGGGCUCAACCCAGGAACUGCGUCCGAUACUGAAAGGCUUGAAUCCGGGAGAGGGAUGCGGAAUUCCAGGUGUAGCGGUGAAAUGCGUAGAUAUCUGGAGGAACACCGGUGGCGAAGGCGGCAUCCUGGACCGGUAUUGACGCUGAGGCGCGAAAGCCAGGGGAGCAAACGGG